rnacentral:misc_RNA from 1 species
AUACACAUGUCUUAGAACACACGUUGGUGCAUUCGAAUUAUGUAUUAUAUAUGUAGUGUAUAUUUGCAGUUCACAGUCAGCGUUCUCCUGGUAUAUGUAUAACAAUUUAGGGCAGAGAAUACAAUUCACGUUAGGGAGCGGUGGUAAAUACGCUAGCGUUCCCUGUGGUGUAGGCCGCGGUACUCAGUGCUUUGUUCAGACAUGGACAUUAUGUCCAUGGUCUAGACCAACUCUUCGGCUCUUACGUAACACUUAGGACGUUGACCCUAUCCUAACCCUGUGCGAGUAUAAGGACUAGACCCUCGAUUUCUUUACACCGGUGUGCAUUUGUUGUUUUGUGACUGUACAGGUUGCCGGUUUAACGCAGGUGUGCUGUAGCUUAGCACGACGUGUGACCUAGUUCUCAGUCGCAAAUACAAAUAUUACACAGAUUAAGACAGGCGUUUGUAUAGUCAGCGUUAUUUUUGCGUCAGCGGAAGCUUAAAGGACUCUGGAGAUGACAUUGACCUUGAUAUUAUAUAAUGGUCACUGCGUGCUCUUUGGUAUUCGGUGGCAGCUGGGCCGGGAUUAGAGGAGCCAAUAACACUAUUGAAGGGCAGCACGAUUAUAAUGCCGGUUUCACAACUGACACAAAAUCCAAAUCAAGGACGCCCACUAGAGGGCGUUCCAACAUGGGAGGAGUACACCAAGGAAAAGAAGGGCUACAUCAACAUUGGCAAAC